rnacentral:lncRNA from 1 species
AUUUUGUUAUUAUUUUAGCUCAAGUGACCCUCUCUCCUCAGUCUCCCGAGUAUUUAACAGUUUGGACUACAAGUGUGCACCAUCAACACCGCACAGAAGGGAGUGAGUGUGAAGUGGCCCUCAGCACUCUCCCAGAUCAAGGUCAACCAGCAGCUCUGGAGGUCUGCACACACAUGCUGUCUACACCUGGCCAAGAAAAGGAAAUUUCCACGGACUAAGGGUCACUAGGAGAUACGUCAUUCCCGGCGACAUGUCUGUCCCGGAACCCCGUCAGCAGGACAGAGGCUGCAGCAGCACGACCUCGUCUUCACUGUGACAAUUUAAUCUUGGAAAAAUGCAUUUUAAAAAAUCAAACAAAAUAAAAUAUUUGAACUAACACUGGGAGAAUUUACUGUGCUGGGCAUGUUCUCUUUUAAGUUCCGUUCUCACCCACAGCAGCGCAUGUGCACGGUUCACAGUGGCUCAAAGCACCCGGAGAGGCUCCAGGGAGACGCAGGGC